rnacentral:rRNA from 1 species
AUACGUAUGGUGCAAGCGUUAUCCGGAUUUACUGGGUGUAAAGGGAGCGUAGACGGAGAGGCAAGUCUGAUGUGAAAACCCGGGGCUCAACCCCGGGACUGCAUUGGAAACUGUCAAUCUGGAGUACCGGAGAGGUAAGCGGAAUUCCUAGUGUAGCGGUGAAAUGCGUAGAUAUUAGGAGGAACACCAGUGGCGAAGGCGGCUUACUGGACGGUAACUGACGUUGAGGCUCGAAAGCGUGGGGAGC